UAGCGGCGAGUGAAGCGGCAAAAGCUCAAAUUUGAAAUCUGGCGUCUUUGGCGUCCGAGUUGUAAUUUGAAGAAGGUAUCUUUGGGCCCGGCUCUUGUCUAUGUUCCUUGGAACAGGACGUCACAGAGGGUGAGAAUCCCGUGCGAUGAGAUGACCCGGGUCUGUGUAAAGUUCCUUCGACGAGUCGAGUUGUUUGGGAAUGCAGCUCUAAGUGGGUGGUAAAUUCCAUCUAAAGCUAAAUAUUGGCGAGAGACCGAUAGCGAACAAGUACAGUGAUGGAAAGAUGAAAAGAACUUUGAAAAGAGAGUGAAAAAGUACGUGAAAUUGUUGAAAGGGAAGGGCUUGAGAUCAGACUUGGUAUUUUGCAUGCUGCUCUCUCGGGGGCGGCCGCUGCGGUUUACCGGGCCAGCAUCGGUUUGGAGCGGCAGGAUAAUGGCGGAGGAAUGUGGCACGGCUUCUGCUGUGUGUUAUAGCCUCUGACGAUACUGCCAGCCUAGACCGAGGACUGCGGUUUUUACCUAGGAUGUUGGCAUAAUGAUCUUAAGUCGCCCGUCUUGAAACACGGACCAAGGAGUCUAACGUCUAUGCGAGUGUUUGGGUGUAAAACCCGUACGCGUAAUGAAAGUGAACGAAGGUGGGGGCCCAUUAGGGUGCACCAUCGACCGAUCCUGAUGUGUUCGGAUGGAUUUGAGUAAGAGCAUAGCUGUUGGGACCCGAAAGAUGGUGAACUAUGCCUGAAUAGGGUGAAGCCAGAGGAAACUCUGGUGGAG
rnacentral:rRNA from 1 species